rnacentral:rRNA from 1 species
CUGCGGAAGGAUCAUUAAUUAAACUGUGCGGAGGCCCGCUCCUUCACUGGAGGUGCGCCUCCGGACUUCGUUUCAACCCUCUGUGUACCAAUACCUCUGUUGCUUCCCGUCCGAGCUUCGGCCCGCGGCGGGAAGGUCUACCGAAACUCUUUUGUCUUAAUGCAGUCUGUAGAUGGCGGCUAGUCCGCAAAAAAAUUAAAAGUUAAAACUUUCAACAACGGAUCUCUUGGUUCUCGCAUCGAUGAAGAACGCAGCGAAAUGCGAUAAGUAGUGUGAAUUGCAGAAUUCAGUGAAUCAUCGAAUCUUUGAACGCACAUUGCGCCCUCUGGCAUUCCGGAGGGCAUGCCUGUCCGAGCGUCGUCAAACCCCCUCAAGCUGCUUUUGCCGCUUGGUCUUGGCCGAAGAUCGCCGCCCCUCGGGGAGGCGUUCCCGGCUGAAAGGGAUCUGGCGGAGAGCCUGGUCUCCACGGAUGUAGUAAGCUUAUGCCUAUCUUCUGUGUGUGCGAUCAGUUAUCCAGCCGUCAACCUCAAUUUUUCAUGUUGACCUCGGAUCAGGUAGGGAUACCCGCUGAACUUAAGCAUAUCAA